rnacentral:rRNA from 1 species
GACGAACGCUGGCGGCGUGCCUAAUACAUGCAAGUAGAACGCUGAAGGAGGAGCUUGCUUCUCUGGAUGAGUUGCGAACGGGUGAGUAACGCGUAGGUAACCUGCCUGGUAGCGGGGGAUAACUAUUGGAAACGAUAGCUAAUACCGCAUAAGAGUAGAUGUUGCAUGACAUUUGCUUAAAAGGUGCAAUUGCAUCACUACCAGAUGGACCUGCGUUGUAUUAGCUAGUUGGUGGGGUAACGGCUUACCAAGGCGACGAUACAUAGCCGACCUGAGAGGGUGAUCGGCCACACUGGGACUGAGACACGGCCCAGACUCCUACGGGAGGCAGCAGUAGGGAAUCGUCGGCAAUGGACGGAAGUCUGACCGAGCAACGCCGCGUGAGUGAAGAAGGUUUUCGGAUCGUAAAGCUCUGUUGUAAGAGAAGAACGAGUGUGAGAGUGGAAAGUUCACACUGUGACGGUAUCUUACCAGAAAGGGACGGCUAACUACGUG